GGCUGAAAAGCAGGCACACGACACUGAGUCUGCACGCUGCAGCUAGUUCUCCUUGGAUUAUGGGAUUACGGUUUUUGUUUUCAUUAAAUUGUUACCGUUUUUAACUUUAACCUCAACCACAGCUACUUCGUCCCAGGUUCUUCCCUGCUGAGACAAUCGUGUCAAGCAUCAACAAAACGAUUGUCAACGACUGCAUCACAGCCUUCGCCUCUGCCUGGAAGCUACCACUGCUUUAACAUACUUCACCCUUUGGAACGACCACUAACCCUGAAGUUCCUCCAAUGGUGUUUUCUAUUAAUCCUGAGAAAGGUGCCAAGGUUGAGUCCAAGAAGAGGAAAAAGUGUUCUCUGUCAAUCCCAGAGUCCUCACACUUAUCUCAGACGUUGCUGACCAUGAGCAGAUCUAGUCCUACCCCUCUUGUUUGGCACGACUUGAUAAAGGUGGAUGGCUGUCAGACGGUGCUGAUGUCAUCUCAGGUGGCGUCGUUGGGCUCUUGUAACAUUUGGAGUUUGGACCUGAGCAGCAAUGGAUGACUGCACAGGAAACUGAGGCACAGGAGAUUCUUUCCUCUUCUGAAUCUGUUUGUCUCAGUUAGGCCUGUCACCAUAACAAAUUCUGCUGGAAGAUAAUAUUCUAAAACUUAUUGUGGUAAAUCAUAUUGUGAUUUGGAGAUACCGUCUUCAUCUAAUACGAUAAAGGCAUAAUCACACAAGUAAUUUACUGCAAUUUUCAAGCUGUAUGUAAACGA